GAUGAACGUUGGCGGUGUGCCUAAUACAUGCAAGUCGAACGGAGUUAGUAGCAAUACUGGCUCAGUGGCGAACGGGUGAGUAACGCGUUGGUGAUCUGCCUUGAAGUGUGGAAUAACGUUUCGAAAGGAACGCUAAUACCGCAUGUGCUCUCGAUUUUCAGAAAGUUGAGAGUAAAGGAUUUAUUCGCUUCAAGAGGAGCCUGCGUCCCAUCAGCUGGUUGGUAGGGUAACGGCCUACCAAGGCUAUGACGGGUAGGGGACCUGAGAGGGUCGGCCCCCCACAAUGGAACUGAAACACGGUCCAUACACCGUACGGGUGGCAGCAGGUAGGGAAUAUUAAGAAAUGGACGAAAGUCUGAUCUAGCAACACCGCGUGUGCGAAGAAGGCCUUCGGGUCGUAAAGCACUUUUUGGAAGGAAUAGGAAGGAAUGUACUUCCAGAAUAAGUCUCGGCUAACUACGUG
rnacentral:rRNA from 1 species